rnacentral:rRNA from 1 species
UACGUAGGUGGCGAGCGUUGUCCGGAUUUACUGGGCGUAAAGAGCACGCAGGCGGUCGUUCAAGUCGAGUGUGAAAGCCCCUGGCUCAACUGGGGAGGGUCACUCGAUACUGAUCGACUCGAAGGCGGGAGAGGGAAGCGGAAUUCCCGGUGUAGUGGUGAAAUGCGUAGAUAUCGGGAGGAACACCAGUGGCGAAGGCGGCUUCCUGGCCCGUUCUUGACGCUCAUGUGCGAAAGCUAGGGUAG